GAUGAACGCUAGCGGGAGGCCUAACACAUGCAAGCUGAGCGGUAUUUGUCUUUCGGGACAGAGAGAGCGGCGUACGGGUGCGUAACACGUGUGCAACCUGCCUUUAUCAGGAGGAUAGCCUUUCGAAAGGAAGAUUAAUACUCCAUAAUAUAUUAAUUGGCAUCAAUUGAUAUUGAAACUCCGGUGGAUAAAGAUGGGCACGCGCAAGAUUAGAUAGUUGGUGAGGUAACGGCUCACCAAGUCGAUGAUCUUUAGGGGGCCUGAGAGGUGAUCCCCACACUGGUACUGAGACACGGACCAGACUCCUACGGGAGGCAGCAGUGAGGAAUAUUGGACAAUGGGUUAGCGCCUGAUCCAGCCAUCCCGCGUGAAGGAUUAAGGACCUAUGGUUUGUAAACUUCUUUUGUACAGGGAUAAACCUACCCUCGUGAGGGUAGCUGAAGGUACUGUACGAAUAAGCACCGCUAACUCCGUGCC
rnacentral:rRNA from 1 species